GUGGGGUCUAAGGACUGGACAGACGAGGUAGGAAAGAUCAGCAAGAAAUGGAGUGGGUUUACAAGGGAGUUAAAUACAGAGGUCGAUAAUUUUGGAAUUAAUUUUCCAAUGGAUUUGGAUGUCAAGUUGAAAGCAGUGAUGCUGGGAGCCGUUUUCCUCAUUGAUUUUAUAUUUUUUGAACAGAAACAGAACUUGCACCAUUGAAACACCAGUGUACCUUGGAUUAUUUUCUGCGGAAAAGAUGGAUACAUGCAAUCUAAUUAUCUAAGCCAUACAUAUUGAUUGAUCUGACAUCUCAUAUAGAUUUUAUCACUGAUUUCAUUAUCAAUAAUGACACGAUGUCAAAAUACUUCAUUCGUUGUAGUUGCAGCAUCCACUGCUUCUUAAACAGAACAUGCUCUUACUCAAAACAACAUUUGAAAAUAAUAAUACCAUAUGUACAUUAUAUUUAAUAA